rnacentral:lncRNA from 1 species
GAUGAAAUAAUAAUUCAUAUACACAGAUCAAUAUUCAUAGAAAAAAAAUGCAAAGUCUCAAAAUAAGCAUUAAUAUAACUCCUCAUGCAUGUUCGUCUUAAGCUUCUUUUCUUUUUUGAACAGCAAAAGAUUAUAUCAUAUAAUAGAAGAUGAACAAAAGGACAAGUGGUACAGUACUCAAUCCAACCACCAAACAAGGGAUCUAAAGAACAAGAAAUACCCAAGAACCAAAACCAGAAACAGAAGGUUUUAAACCUUGAAAAAGAAACAAAUCCUUACCUAGAUAAACAAUCAAAUGGAUAUCCAUCCCAUUCAUAAAAGCUACAGACAUCAGCGUAGCUAGAAAAAAUAAACCACUCCAAAGUUACAUGCUUAAUUGCCUUGAAGCCUUGUUGUGGAAAAUUUGCGCAUUCCUUGCAAGCCAAACUCUCCAAGUAACAUCUUGCCAAAUCAUAUUAAGCCUCAUCUUCUGUUGUCUUCUCUGCCCCUGAAUUGAUGUAAUUUGUGCAGCCAUCUCAUUUGAGACACCUUGGUCCAAAUCUUUUCUUCAUGAGACAUCUAUAAAAUAUAUAAACAAAAAUCCUAAUAAGUUUAAUAGACCCAACAAUAUACCUAAAGAUAAUAAGACCAAAAUUUAAGGAAUUAAGCCUUGUAACCAUAGUAGAAAGUAACAAUAACAAAAUGUCAAGACUAGUCAAAAUGAACAUACCAACCAAUUAAUAUAAAAAAAAAACAAUUGUCACAACAAAUAUGCUAUCACUGAAUCUCCUACAAAUAAAGAAGUGUAUGAGUUAUCAACUCUACAAUAUAUACGAUUCAAAAAAUGGAAUUAAGAAAAAGAUAAACAAAACAUGAAUUAGCUGGUGAUAGAAACCAAUUAUCAUAAAAAUACACGUUUUUUAGAUCAUCACUGGACUUCCAAAAGCAAAUUAUCACAUUUCUCAAACCAUACCUCAGGAUCCCUUUCUAUCUCACGAGUGAGUUCUCCAAUUGAUCAAGGAACAGAGCAUACUUGUUGUCUGCANNNNNNNNNNNNNNNNNNNNNNNNNNNNNNNNNNNNNNNNNNNNNNNUUGAUAAAAUGCAUCAAGAAAGGUCAAACUUAUAAAUCAGCAAGAAUGAAAAUGAACCGACAUUAAAUAAAAUUAGUCCCUAUAUAUGCUUUCCAACAACUCUUUUUUGUUUACUGACAUGAAAAAAUUAUAUUGUAAACACACAUUGAUAGCUAUGUUAUAUUAUUUAAACCAACUACACAUUAUCAUUACUUUUUCAUUGAUUACAUAACUUUGAAAAGAAGGAAGUAAUUUUCAGAAAGCAUGGGCUGUAGAACAUACAAAAUUAGUUUAGAGGCAAAAGAUUAUUAUUAGCUAGACAUCUCUGAAAGCUUGAAAGAACAUAUAAAGGCGUAAUCAUAAAAUUUAGACUACUAUGUUACAAAGCAGUCAUGAUCAAUUAUUGAUUCCAUUGACAAUCUUAACCAAAUAUAGAUUCAGAAGACAUAACUUACCACAAUUAGAUUUGUUCCAGUGAAGCAAAUGGAAUAUUCUGAAAAUGACUCUUUCCUCAUGAAAAAAUGAAGCAAAUGGCACACUCAGAAAAAUUACUUGGUGGUCGGUUCAUCGCAGUUUUUGGCAUUUCCUUUUAUUAACAUAAUAAAUCUUUCCUUUCGUGGUAUCUAUGCAAUUAACACAUUGCAGCAAAUAAAAUUUAGAAUUGUGCAAGUAAAAAUCUAAUAAACUAUGCUACUUAACACUUAUUUACCAAUUUGACUGCAACAUAAUGCACCUACCUUAAUGUUUGGGUGAGUCAUUCAAUAUGAACUCACCAAGGGNNNNNNNNNNNNNNNNNNNNNNNNNNNNNNNNNNNNNNAAACCUAUUCAUUUCAUAUUAUGUGCUAAUCACAAACUACAGUCCAUAAACUCAAUUGGAAUGAGAUAUUCAAAAUAUAUCAAUGUUUGAGGAGCCAGCCAUAUCCAAAGGGUGAGAAUUUACAAUGUUGAAAGCAAAAAUCCCCUUCACACCCAGAUUUCUCAAGUUGUUUCACACAACCCUUGUAAAGCAAAACAAGUUGUUUCUCAAGUUCUUACUAACGAAUAAUGAUUUACCAUUACCACACAACAUGAAUAAAUUAAAACUCUACGAAAUUGGGGGUAAAGUUGAGGAUUAGGGUUUUAAAACAUUUGGGUCUUUUCACAUUUAGAAACAAUCAUAGGUUAAGCACUCACCAGAAAUUCACUUCAUCGCUACGCUUAGGAGAGGUAAAGUGCGAAUCUGAACAAUCUCAGAGAAGUGGAGAACAACCGCUACCUUGUGCGGUGGUGAAGCGGCAAAAACGAGAAGCUGAGAGGACCACAAUUCUGCAAGUGUGUUUCUGCGACCAGAUGCAAAAAUAGAGAGAGAUGGUGAUGUUUCGUUUCGUUUCAUUCAUUUGGGUUUAGGGUUUCCUUCUUUGAUCUACCGUUUGUGAGAAGAGAGAAUGUCUUGAGUGUGUUUUGGUGAGGGAGUGGUUUACUAAAAGGAAGAAAUAACAUAUAUUUUUAUUUUCUCUUUACCCACGGCCUAGAUAUCGGUACGUUAGAUCUAUUGUGUAUACCGAAGAAUUUUGCUUACUUUCACCGUACCCACGGCUUUGCUCUUGGUAUUACUCACGGUAAGUGGCCAUGGGUAAAAAUACCGUGGGUAUAUGCAAUUAUUCUUGUAGUG